GACACGGGGGAAAUAAGAGAAGAGAUAAAGAGGAAAAAAGAGAUGAGGGAGACAAAACUGACAUGUGGGCCCUACAUGUGAGGUAACGGUCAAACAUAAGGUCAAAUAGAUGGAUCAUUUUGGUGCGGGACCGACCUGUCAUAAAUAGGUUUAAUUUUUAAUCAAUGGUCAUUUGAGGUUUUUUAAAUAACCAACCCUUGAGUUGGUAGUUAUCAGCGAAGAAUUAAAAUAUUGUAGUUUUUUAGAGCCUUAACCCGUAAAGUAGUAGCUUUAUUCUAUUUACUCCAGUGCAUGUUAGUAUGUGACUACAUGGAAAAUAUGAUUUAGAUGUGAAACGAGUGAAACUUUGCCUUUGUUUGAUGUGUUCUAUAAAGUUUAGUUCAUCUCCUUGAACACGUGAAAGAUGUAUUUCUUAGUACUUAAUUCGAACAAUGGUUUUACACAUAUGAUCAGAAAUAGGGAUGUGUAUUAUAGAGCAGACUUGAAUCUAGAACUUCCAUUCUUUUUGUUUUCUUUAUUUCGUACGGCCAUCAUGUUGUGGGAUGCUUCUUAUAUGCAUAUCUUAUAACAUGUUAUCCCUGAAAGUAUAGCAUGCUCUUGGUCGGGGUAUAUCAUGUAACCAUCAGCCCAGAUCCACAACAUGGCAUCGUUGGAUUUUUUUUUAAAGAAUAUGAGAAUUAUGAUUUUUAAAGAAAUAUUUUUUAGUACAAAUAAAUAUCCACUGCAGUGAAACAGAUGAUUUGUGAUGUUGAAUGCUCACAUGUUUGAUUUAUGUUUUAACUAAUGAUCUGUAGUUCAUGGUUGUAGUAGAAUGUAUCAACACGAGACAUGAAUCUUGGAUUCUAAUUUUUUCCUCGAUGUUUGUGAUUCUUGGACGUUUUUGUAUACUUCACAGAACACAUAAAUUCAAAUCUUUCGUGCUUACUUUUGUGCUGUAAAAAUGAAAUUUUUUCUGUGCUUGAUGUGUUUUAGAGAGUAUGAUUGAUCACCCCGAACAUUUCACCAUAAAUAUGAGUCGGCAAUACGGAGUACACUUGAAAGCACAACUUUAGCAUUUCUGUUACAACCUACUAUCCCUUGAAAGUAUAUCAUGCUCUUCUUGGUGGUAUAUCAUUGAACCAUCAACCUAGAUUCUGAACACGGCGAAACAAAAUCACGGUUUGCGGUGUUAGAUUUUUGAAGUAGGGAUUUUGUGUACUAAUAAAUAUCAGCUGUGGUGAAACCUAUUAUUUUUAAUGCUUAGAAGUUUGAUUUACGUAAUCCUUGAGAAAGUGCCAUAGCUUAACAAUUGUAUUCAUACUUCUAUUCUCAUGGUCUUUUUUAUUUUGUUAGCUGCAAUUAGUAAGGUUUGACAUGUUGUUUGUGUUGUACGUGCAAGAUGCCAAGACAACACACUCAUCUAUUUUCUAUAUUCUGCAUAUUAAUUGCUUAUCCUAUACUGUAAUGUUAAUGUGGAUUCUCCUUGAAGUUGCAUGCAAAGAUAAUCUAUCCUACAUUGAAAUCCAUAACUUCAAAAAGUCCAGCUUUGCUCUUUGUUGAUUAUCCAUCAUAGUACUAACGUAUAAGAGCCUAUCGUGUAUUUCAGGCUUUUACAUUGCUAACUUCAUAACUCCUGGUAGACAAAGCUUCAUUUUGCAAAAUGCCUCAAUGUCCAAGCCAACGGUCUACUAAAGAAAAGAAGGUUCUUACCAUGUCCCUUAACAUUUGUAUUAGUAUAUAACCUAAACAUUGAUAGCUCACAUUGCAAUAUUUGUAAUAGUGAUGAAUGAACAUAACAACACAAAGAGGUCUUGCCGUAAUAUUGCACCGAGUGCUCCAACAUGAUUGGUAGUACGGGAGUCGUCCAACUCAAGAACCUCGAGUGGAACAUCCUCUGAUGGUGAGGAUGUUCUAAACUA
rnacentral:lncRNA from 1 species